GUCGCAAUUCUCCUCCUGUGUAUACUUAGCAAGGACAGCCAGCAAGGUACUGUGGCUGGACCUGGACGGACGAUGCGGAUAUAUGAAAGAUUUCAUGUUUGUGCUUCCUUUUGUUGUGAAUUCGAAACUAGUUCGAAAAAAAAAAAAAAAAAAA
rnacentral:ribozyme from 13 species